rnacentral:tRNA from 1 species
GGGUGGGUUAGCUCAGUGGUUAGAGCCCAGGUCUUGUGAGCGGAAAGUCCCGGGAUCGAAUCCCGCCAGAGACA